AUUACAUCAAGCUAAGAAAGAGGGCUGCUAUCCACGGUUUUCUUGAGCAUCUAAGGGGCCGAAAUUUCUGCCUUCAUCCUCUAAUCAAGCGCUCAAGGGGACCUUCAAGAGGAACUCGAAGUGGACGCCUAGACAUUUGUUUGAGUAUUACUCUCUUGUUGCUAUAGGGUUCGAGACCAAGGGUGCUCGUGAGUAGUACUAGAUUGUU